rnacentral:rRNA from 1 species
CCUACGGGUGGCAGCAGUGAGGAAUAUUGGUCAAUGGGCGCGAGCCUGAACCAGCCAAGUAGCGUGAAGGAUGACUGCCCUACGGGUCGUAAACUUCUUUUAUAAGGGAAUAAAGUGUGGAACGUGUCCCUUUUUGUAUGUACCUUAUGAAUAAGGAUCGGCUAACUCCGUGCCAGCAGCCGCGGUAAUACGGAGGAUCCGAGCGUUAUCCGGAUUUAUUGGGUUUAAAGGGAGCGUAGAUGGGUUUUUAAGUCAGUUGUGAAAGUUUGGGGCUCAACCGUAAAAUUGCAAUUGAAACUGGCAGCCUUGAGUACAGUUGAGGUAGGCGGAAUUCGUGGUGUAGCGGUGAAAUGCUUAGAUAGCACGAAGAACUCCGAUUGCGAAGGCAGCCUACUAACCUGCCACUGACAUUGAUGCUCGAAAGUGUGGGUAUCAAACAGGAUUAGAUACCCGGGUAGUC